GAAUUCGCCCUUAGAGUUUGAUCCUGGCUCAGGACGAACGCUGGCGGCGCGCCUAACACAUGCAAGUCGAACGAGCGAGAGAGAGCUUGCUUUCUCAAGCGAGUGGCGAACGGGUGAGUAACGCGUGAGGAACCUGCCUCAAAGAGGGGGACAACAGUUGGAAACGACUGCUAAUACCGCAUAAGCCCACGGGUCGGCAUCGACCAGAGGGAAAAGGAGCAAUCCGCUUUGAGAUGGCCUCGCGUCCGAUUAGCUAGUUGGUGAGGUAAUGGCCCACCAAGGCGACGAUCGGUAGCCGGACUGAGAGGUUGAACGGCCACAUUGGGACUGAGACACGGCCCAGACUCCUACGGGAGGCAGCAGUGGGGAAUAUUGCACAAUGGGGGAAACCUUGAUGCAGCGACGCCGCGUGGAGGAAGAAGGUCUUCGGAUUGUAAACUCCUGUUGUUGAGGAAGAUAAUGACGGUACUCAACAAGGAAGUGACGGCUAACUACGUGCCAGCAGCCGCGGUAAAACGUAGGUCACAAGCGUUGUCCGGAAUUACUGGGUGUAAAGGGAGCGCAGGCGGGAAGACAAGUUGGAAGUGAAAUCUAUGGGCUCAACCCAUAAACUGCUUUCAAAACUGUUUUUCUUGAGUAGUGCAGAGGUAGGCGGAAUUCCCGGUGUAGCGGUGGAAUGCGUAGAUAUCGGGAGGAACACCAGUGGCGAAGGCGGCCUACUGGGCACCAACUGACGCUGAGGCUCGAAAGUGUGGGUAGCAAACAGGAUUAGAUACCCUGGUAGUCCACACCGUAAACGAUGAUUACUAGGUGUUGGAGGAUUGACCCCUUCAGUGCCGCAGUUAACACAAUAAGUAAUCCACCUGGGGAGUACGACCGCAAGGUUGAAACUCAAAGGAAUUGACGGGGGCCCGCACAAGCAGUGGAGUAUGUGGUUUAAUUCGACGCAACGCGAAGAACCUUACCAAGUCUUGACAUCCUGCGACGAUGCUGGAAACAGUAUUUUCCUUCGGGACGCAGAGACAGGUGGUGCAUGGUUGUCGUCAGCUCGUGUCGUGAGAUGUUGGGUUAAGUCCCGCAACGAGCGCAACCCUUACUGUCAGUUACUACGCAAGAGGACUCUGGCAGGACUGCCGUUGACAAAACGGAGGAAGGUGGGGAUGACGUCAAAUCAUCAUGCCCUUUAUGACUUGGGCUACACACGUACUACAAUGGCGUUAAACAAAGAGAAGCAAGACCGCGAGGUGGAGCAAAACUCAGAAACAACGUCCCAGUUCGGACUGCAGGCUGCAACUCGCCUGCACGAAGUCGGAAUUGCUAGUAAUCGUGGAUCAGCAUGCCACGGUGAAUACGUUCCCGGGCCUUGCACACACCGCCCGUCA
rnacentral:rRNA from 1 species